UACGUAGGGUGCGAGCGUUAAUCGGAAUUACUGGGCGUAAAGGGCUCGUAGGUGGCCAACUAAGUCAGACGUGAAAUCCCUCGGCUUAACCGGGGAACUGCGUCUGAUACUGGAUGGCUUGAGUUUGGGAGAGGGAUGCGGAAUUCCAGGUGUAGCGGUGAAAUGCGUAGAUAUCGGGAGGAACACCAGAGGCGAAGGCGGCUAGCUGGAUAGGCACUGACACUGAACUACGAAAGUGUGGGGAGCAAACAGG
rnacentral:rRNA from 1 species